CAAGCUGACCGAUACUGAUGGCUUAGUGGCGAACGAGUUAGUAACAUCUUGGUACGUACCCUCCAGUCGAGCACAACGGGUCGAAAGAUCCGCUAAUUCUCGAUGGUGCAGCGAUGCUAAAGCAGCAAUGCGCUGGGGGAGCGGCCUAGAUCCUAUCAGCUUGUUGGCGGGGUAACGGCCCACCAAGGCCAUGACGGGUAGGGGGUGUGAGAGCACGACCCUCAACGACGAAACUGAGACACGGUUCGUACACCUACGGGUGGCAGCAGUCGAGAAUAUUCGACAAUGGGGGAAACCCUGAUCGAGCGACGCCGCGUGCGGGAAGAAGGCCUUCGGGUCGUAAACCGCUUUUGCGUGGGAAGAAUUUUGACGGUACCACGAGAAUAAGGGGUUGCUAACUCUGUGCCAGCAGCAGCGGUAAUACAGAGACCCCGAGCAUUAUCCGGAAUUACUGGGCGUAAAGCGUGAGUCACCGGUCGCGUUAGUCUGAUGUAAAAUCGUGGGGCCCAACUUCACGUCUGCAUCGGAAACGGCGCGACUCGAGCGGAUGAGAGGAGAGCGGAACGUAUGGUGUAGGGGUGAAAUCCACUGAUAUCAUACGGAACACCAAAAGCGAAGGCAGCUCUCUAGUGUCUUGCUGACGGUCAAUCACGAAAGCGUGGGGAUCAAAAAGGAUUAGAUACCCUUGUAGUCCACGCCCUAAACUAUGCACACUAGCUAUUGGGAGCAUCGACCCUUCCAGUGGCGAAGCUAACGCGUUAAGUGUGUCGCCUGGGAAGUACGAUCGCAAGAUUAAAACUCAAAGAAAUAGGCGGGACUUCGCACAAGCAGUGGAUCAUGUGGUUCAAUUCGACUCUAACCGAGAAACCUCACCAGGGCUUGAAAUCCGAUGGAAAUCCCCGGGAAACCGGGGACCCCGAAAGGCCGUCGGACAGGUGCUGCACGGCUGUCGUCAGCUCGUCUCGUGAGAGGUCUCCUUAAGU
rnacentral:rRNA from 1 species